rnacentral:rRNA from 1 species
CCUACGGGUGGCAGCAGUGGGGGAUAUUGCACAAUGGGGGGAACCCUGAUGCAGCGACGCCGCGUGGGUGAAGGAGCGUUUCGGCGCGUAAAGCCCUAUCGGCAGGGAAGAAGAUGACGGUACCUGACCAAUCAGCCCCGGCUAACUACGUGCCAGCAUCCGCGGUAAUCCGUAGGGGGGCAGCGGUAACCGGGUUUACUGGGGGUAAAGGGGGCGCAGACGGGAAUGCAAGCUAGGUGUGAAAGCCGGGGGCCCAACCCCGGGACUGCUAUUGAAACUGCAUGGCUGGAGUAGAGGAGGGGCAUGCGGAAUUCGUAGUGUAGCGGUGAAAUGCAUAGAUAUUAGGAGGAACACCGGUGGCGAAGGCGGCAUGCCGGCCUGUGACUGACGUUGAGGCACGAAGGCGUGGGGAGCGAACAGGAUUAGAUACCCCAGUAGUC